ACUGGGACGUCUCCAUGGUGGGCUUGGGGUUGUGCCAGUUUCUUGCAUGUUCCGGGUACUUGGGGCCUGAGCGGUCCCGGCCACCCGUUUCUGGGCUCACGCAGUGCCUGGUGCCAGGAUGGAGUGGGGUUUGGUAUGUGGGGGUGCUGGGGCAGGAGCGGUGUGCCCCAGCUGAGCUGUUGGGGGGGGGUGGGAGUCUGGCAUGAGCAAAGGGAGGGCUGGGCUGUACAGUGGUGGCUGGAGGGGAGGCCACAGGUCAUGCCUGGUGGUGGUGAGAGUUGUGUGCAUCUUGCCUAGCCUGGGGUGUGGGGGUGUGGCUGUGUUCACCUGUGGGCUCUUCAGUUGGGCUGGGGGUGAAUAGCAGGGGCCUGUACAAAUCAAGCGAUGCGUUGUGCAAUUACUUAUCAUCCCCUGGCUGAUUCCUAGGCUGUCCCUAAGCAGUGGUUUUCAAACCCUCUGGCUAGUCACCCCUUGAAAGUUCUCAUCAGGAAGCCACAUCUGGAAUAUUCCUUAAACCAGCUGAGGGUCAGCUGUCCAGGUUCUGUCCCCUCCCAGCUCCUUGUGUGCCCCCAGCCUGCACACUGGCAGGGUGGUAUGAGAAGCUGAGAAGUCUCUGGUUUCCUGAAAGCACUGCUCUGUAACAGUUAAAACAUCAGUGUGUUACCAGUGUGAGUCAUUUUAAAUGCAAAACAGAGCACUACACAAGGUACUGGGAGGAAAAUACUUCCAGUCCAAACCAGGAUGGAGUGUUGCAUGAGAGUUGAAGCUGGAACUGCUGGUGAGAAGGAGAGCUGUGAAGUAGGUAAGGGGUCUGGGAGCUGGGCAGGUGCUCUCCCCUGCCAGAGGGGCCUUGUUUGGUGUUCAAGGAUCUGCAACUGUGUGUGUUCUCGUGAAAAAGGGGAGUGCUGCAUGUGUGCCUGCAGUAGUGGACUUGUAUCCUCCCUAGCUGGAGAGGAAGAAGGGGACUUGACUGAGUCUUAGGUUUCCAUGAGUUGUGUCAAAGAUUGCCUUUGGCUCAGGCAGCUUGGGUGAUAGAGCUUUCUGUAUCCGGUUUGUCCCUUGUAACUGUGCUCAACUGUGUUAGCAUUCAAACUUGGGAAAGUGUUUUGCCUGUAAAUGUCUGGAAUAUUUGCAUGUGCUCCACCACCAAGAUUAAGGGUGGAUCUGAGAGACUGUUGCUAUGUUGCAUUAUCUCUUGUACUUGUUUUAGAUAGAGAAAAUAAGACAGUCAACUAGUAAAGGUGUGUCUUCACCAUGCCAGACCUUUCUCGUGUGGUUUCCUCUAAAGAUGCUUUGAAAAUACAGAGCUGUUUCUAUAUUCCAUAGGGAAUUACAGAAUAGAUACAAUCAACUGUUUCUUCCUGAAGGCAAAGAGGUUUUUGCCCAAGGAUUUUGAGAGAAUGGUAACUUCCAAAUGAAAAGGAAAAGAAAUAAUGAUGGAUGUACCUUCGCUGCUUCUCUGGUGAGAGAAUACAGCAGUUCAGCAGUCAUUGAUGUAACCAGUCAUAUGUCACUCAGCUUGCUGAAGUACCAUAAAACAACUAUGGAUCAAGAAAGAAAACAUGAGCUUUACUGUUAUCCUCAUCACUGACUAGAGGGCCUGCGAUUUUUUGUUCUUACUGAUUUUGCACUGCUUGUCCUGUAUUUCUUAGCUGUCCUCCUCAUUUUGGAACAGUGGGAACUUCCGCUGACCCCUGAUCUGCUUAUCAUUAUGUGAGAAGAAUCUUUUUUUUUUCAGACAGGGUCUUCUGUGAAGCUGUUUUAUUUGCUAUGGA